rnacentral:rRNA from 1 species
GGAGGAUCCAAGCGUUAUCCGGAAUCAUUGGGUUUAAAGGGUCCGUAGGCGGGUUUAUAAGUCAGUGGUGAAAGCCCAUCGCUCAACGAUGGAACGGCCAUUGAUACUGUAGAUCUUGAAUUAUUAGGAAGUAACUAGAAUAUGUAGUGUAGCGGUGAAAUGCUUAGAGAUUACAUGGAAUACCAAGUGCGAAGGCAGGUUACUACUAAUGGAUUGACGCUGAUGGACGAAAGCGUGGGUAGCGAACAGGAUUAGAUACCCUGGUAGUCCACGCCGUAAACGAUGGAUACUAGCUGUUCGGAGCAAUCUGAGUGGCUAAGCGAAAGUGAUAAGUAUCCCACCUGGGGAGUACGUUCGCAAGAAUG